CGGCAAGGGAACGCCACUGAUGCCAAACCGGCGGUUCCAGACGUAUCUGUUCUCGCUGUUCAACGAGAAUCUUAAACCGGGUUCGACCGCCGAGAGGAAUUUCGGAUUGUUCAGACCUGACUUCACUCCGGUUUACGACAUUGGGAUUCUGAAACAGGUGAGAUUAUGCUCUCUAUUUAUUAGUUUGAGUGGGGAUUAGGUAAGAUCAUGGCUUACGACAUGGGUAUUUAUUCAGUCCUUGUUAAUGAAGUGGCUUUGUGUUGCUUGACUUGGCAAUAUUCGUCGCUUUCUCUCCAAAAAUUCGAGCUCAGUUUGAUUAGUUUUAACGCCAGGUGGAACAGUACAUACUAAUUAAUUUUUGCUUAAACCCAGCAAUUGAGCUAAUUGAAGUACACUAUUCAAAAAUACUAUCAUAUGGUAAGGUAGGUUCCCUGCUCUCAUUUGUCCUGACUUAGCAUGAGGAUGUGUGAAUAGAAUUGCAUAUCAGUUUUAGAAAUGAAAAUAGAUUUUGGAGAUGGUAAGAGAUGAAUUUUCAUUUUUAGAGGUGAGGCUUGCAGAUUCUCUGGAAUUUACACUCCACAUGACAAUCAACUGCAGUAUAUUUAGAGUUUCAAGAUCGUCUAAUACAAUAUUAUGUUUUUUCUAUGGAGACCUCUUAGUAAUUUGAUCAUUUGACUACAUCAACAUGCACAUUUUCUAAUGGAGAUGCGAAUGAAGCUCCCCCUUUGUAUUUCCUUAAGAACAAAUCAGAUCUUUUUGUGUUUUUGUUAGACUGAUUAAACAACACUAUGAGGAGAGUGGACUGCAUAUGCCGUCUAUAAGAUGUUUUAGAUCUGUGUCAUGUCUGUUAGGUUUAUUUUAAUCGGCUUGUUUCACAUUGCUGCUGUGUAGUCUGCUGGUGGCGCACCAACACCAACUGUGCCAUCUGGCAAGAAGUGGUGUGUACCAAAACCAGAUGCUACCGACGAAGCAUUGCAAUCCAACAUAAACUACGUCUGCAGCACAGGAGUAGAUUGCAAGCCUAUACAACCUGGUGGGGCCUGCUACGACCCCAACACCAUUAGAUCUCAUGCUUCGUAUGCCAUGAAUGCUUAC
rnacentral:lncRNA from 1 species